AGAAUCAACGCUGGCGGCGUGCCUAACACAUGCAAGUCGAACGAGAAAGUGGAGCAAUCCAUGAGUAAAGUGGCGCACGGGUGAGUAACACGUGACUAACCUACCCUUGAGUGGGGAAUAGCCUAGGGAAACCUGGGCUAAUACCGCAUAACACCUACGGGUCAAAGGAGCAAUUCGCUUAAGGAGGGGUCGCGGCAGAUUAGCUAGUUGGCGGGGUAAUGGCCCACCAAGGCAGUGAUCUGUA
rnacentral:rRNA from 1 species